rnacentral:rRNA from 1 species
AAGAAACUAACAAGGAUUCCCCUAGUAACUGCGAGUGAAGCGGGAAAAGCUCAAAUUUAAAAUCCUUCGGGAGUUGUAAUCUAUAGAAGUGUUUUCGGUCGUUGCCUCGGACAAGUCUCUUGGAACAGAGCGUCAUAGAGGGUGAGAAUCCCGUCCUUGCCGAGCUCCCAACGUCUAUGUGAUACACUUUCAAAGAGUCGAGUUGUUUGGGAAUGCAGCUCAAAAUGGGUGGUAAACUCCAUCUAAAGCUAAAUAUUGGCGAGAGACCGAUAGCGAACAAGUACCGUGAGGGAAAGAUGAAAAGCACUUUGGAAAGAGAGUUAAACAGUACGUGAAAUUGUUGAAAGGGAAGCGCUUGAAGUCAGUCGCGUUGCAAGGACUCAGCCUCACGGUGUAUUUCUUUGCAACGGGUCAACAUCAGUUUUGACCGCGGGAAAAGGGCUCGAGGAAUGUGGCAACCUCGGUUGUGUUAUAGCCUCCUGUCGUACACCGCGGUCGGGACUGAGGUCUGCUUACAGGAUGUUGACGAAAUGGCUUUAAGCGACCCG